UACGUAGGGGGCAAGCGUUGUCCGGAUUUAUUGGGCGUAAAGAGCGUGUAGGCGGCCAGACAAGUCUGCUGUGAAAACUCGAGGCUCAACCUCGAGCUGUCGGUGGAAACUGUCUGGCUAGAGUCCGGAAGAGGAGAGUGGAAUUCCUGGUGUAGCGGUGAAAUGCGCAGAUAUCAGGAAGAACACCUAUGGCGAAGGCAGCUCUCUGGGACGUUACUGACACUGAGGCGCGAAAGCGUGGGGAGCGAACAGG
rnacentral:rRNA from 1 species